AAACCUUCAAGCUCUGCUUGGUGUUGGGUGUUUGUUCCGCCUAGUGCGUGGACUCGCCUUAAAUUCAUUGGCAGCCGGUAAGUUGGCUUCGUGCGCAGCACAUUGUGUCGCGAUCCAGUUUACCUCCUUCCAUCAAGCCUCUUUUUUA
rnacentral:misc_RNA from 1 species